UCCGGUUGAUUCCGCCGGAGGACAUCGCUCAUCGGGUUUCGAUUUCGCCACGCUAGUCGAGCGAGUUUAGACUUCGCGGCGCAUAGCUUCAGUAACACGCGGCCAAGCUCCCUCUUAGUCAGCGAUACCCUCGGGAAACCGAGGUUAACAGCUCGAUACAAAACGCCAGCUCGGAAUCGCGGCGUUCUCAGAAAGAGAUCGCUGAAGGAUGCGGCUCGCGGCCGAUUAAGGUAGACGGUGGGGUAACGGCCCACCGUGCCAGUAAUCGGUACGGGUGAUGAGAGUCAGAGCCCGGAGACGGAAUCUGAGACAAGAUUCCGGGCCCUACGGGGCGCAGCAGGCGCGAAACCUUUACACUGCACGGAAGUGCGAUAGGGGAAUCCCAAGUGCGAGGGCAUAUUAGCCCUCGCUUUUCUCGACUGUAAGGUGGUCGACGAAUAAGAGCUGGGCAAGACCGGUGCCAGCCGCCGCGGUAAUACCGGCAGCCCGAGUGAUGGCCGAUAUUAUUGGGCCUAAAGCGUUCGUAGCCGGCUAGUCAAGUCUGUUGGGAAAUCCACGCGCUCAACGCGUGGGCGUCCAGCGGAAACUGACUGGCUUGGGGCCGGAGGACUCGAGGGGUACGUCCGGGGUAGGAGUGAAAUCCCGUAAUCCUGGACGGACCACCGGUGGCGAAAGCGCCUCGAGAAGACGGACCCGACGGUGAGGAACGAAAGCCAGGGUCUCGAACCGGAUUAGAUACCCGGGUAGUCCUGGCCGUAAACGAUGUCUGCUAGGUGUGGCGCAGGCUACGAGCCUGCGCUGUGCCGCAGGGAAGCCGUGAAGCAGACCGCCUGGGAAGUACGUCUGCAAGGAUGAAACUUAAAGGAAUUGGCGGGGGAGCACUACAACCGGAGGAGCCUGCGGUUUAAUUGGACUCAACGCCGGACAUCUCACCAGCCCCGACUACAGUAAUGACGAUCAGGUUGAUGACCUCAUCACGAGCUGUAGAGAGGAGGUGCAUGGCCGCCGUCAGCUCGUACCGUGAGGCGUCCUGUUAAGUCAGGCAACGAGCGAGACCCGCACUCCUAAUUGCCAGCAGCAGUCUCGACUGGCUGGGUACAUUAGGAGGACUGCCAGUGUUAAACUGGAGGAAGGAACGGGCAACGGUAGGUCAGUAUGCCCCGAAUGAGCUGGGCAACACGCGGGCUACAAUGGCUAAGACAAUGGGUCGCUAUCUCGACAGAGAACGCUAAUCUCGAAACUUAGUCGUAGUUCGGAUUGAGGGCUGAAACUCGCCCUCAUGAAGCUGGAUUCGGUAGUAGCCGCCUUUCAGUAGAAGGCGACGAAUACGUCCCUGCUCCUUGUACACACCGCCCGUCA
rnacentral:rRNA from 1 species